UUCACUCCCCGACAUUGAAGUUCUUGCUUCGCCCAAUUUUGCAAUCCGUCGGUAAAGUGAAACAAUAGAUCUUCAUCUGACAUGCUCGGGAUUUGAAGCACAAGGGUAGUAAACUCUUUGACAUAAUCGCGAAUAGUGCCCUUAUGUUUCAACUCCCUAAGCUUUUUACGGGCCUCAUAUACUACAUUUUCGGGAUAAAAUUGGCGUUUCAAUUCCUUCUUGAAAUCAUCCCAACUAUCUAUCCUACAAGCACCCUUUUCUAUGUCGGCGUGCUUACGUCGCCACCAUAGAGCCGCGGUGUCCGUAAGAUACAUAGUCGAAGUACGUACCUUAAUAGCUUCAUCCAAAAUGUUCACGCUCUCAAAAUAUAUUUCCAAUCGCCAUAG
rnacentral:lncRNA from 1 species